CUACGGGAGGCAGCAGUGAGGAAUAUUGCACAAUGGGGGGAACCCUGAUGCAGCAACGCCGCGUGGAGGAUGACGCAUUUCGGUGUGUAAACUCCUUUUAUAUGUCAAGAAAAUGACGGUAGCAUAUGAAUAAGCACCGGCUAACUCCGUGCCAGCAGCCGCGGUAAUACGGAGGGUGCAAGCGUUACUCGGAAUCACUGGGCGUAAAGGAGGCGUAGGAGGGUUGGAAAGUCAGGUGUGAAAUCCUACAGCUUAACUGUAGAACUGCACUUGAAACUUCUAAUCUAGAGUAUGGGAGGGGGAGAUGGAAUUAGUGGUGUAGGGGUAAAAUCCGUAGAUAUCACUAGGAAUACCUAAAGCGAAGGCGAUCUCCUGGAACAUUACUGACGCUAAGGCGUGAAAGCGUGGGGAGCAAACAGGAUUAGAUACCCCGGUAGUC
rnacentral:rRNA from 1 species